UAUGAAUAAGCACCGGCUAACUCCGUGCCAGCAGCCGCGGUAAUACGGAGGGUGCAAGCGUUGUCCGGAUUUAUUGGGUUUAAAGGGUGCGUAGGUGGCUAGAUAAGCCAGUGGUGAAAGCCCAUCGCUUAACGAUGGAACUGCCAUUGGAACUGUUUAGCUUGAGUAUCGUUGAAGUAGGCGGAAUUUAUGGUGUAGCGGUGAAAUGCAUAGAUACCAUAAAGAACACCGAUAGCGUAGGCAGCUUACUAAGCGAUAACUGACACUGAGGCACGAAAGCAUGGGGAGCGAACAGGAUUAGAUACCCUGGUAGUCCACGCCGUAAACGAUGGAUACUAGCUGUGCGGA
rnacentral:rRNA from 14 species